CUCCGCCCCGCUGGGGGAGGUGUGUCCGGCCGGCAGCGGUGCUGUGCUUAGAGCCGUGCCGGGCCGGGCCAGGGCCCCUGGGUUGUUUUCUUUAGGCAGUUUGGAGGGUUCCUCGGCGCUGAGCUGUCAGUACUGCCCAGGCAGGUUUUCCUGGUGUCCAGCCGCAGGCCUUAGUCCCGCUGCCACAACCGUGUCUCUGCUGUAGCUGCCCCCAGCGCUUCUCUGUGCGCCAUCGCACCCUUUGCUCUGAGUCGCCUCAGGCUGGCAGUGACUUACUUGAACUGUGCAAGCCUGAAAGCCGUGCGUCUGCUGAAACUACUCGGUGUAGAUCAGGGAAUUACUUCACGUGCCUGACCGGCUCUAAUUCUUUAACACCAAACUUCACGUCACAUCUGCUUCUUUGUCACUGGGUUGUCAGCACUGACCUGUGCUCAACAUUGCAUACCUCCUGGCCCCAGUGGCACUUCGUGCAAAAUUAGUUGCAGCCUUUGUUUCCAUUCAGUGGAAUAACAUGGCUGUGUGCCUUCAUCCCCGAGUACAGAACCUUGCACUUGUCCGCCUUAAACUUUCUUCUGUCGUUUUUCCCCACUGACAUCUCAUCUCUUCCUUGUGACAGCAUGCUUGAAGCUGCUCCCAAGUAGGAGUAGCUGCAGGUUUACUAAGGCACUCUUUUUUCAUUCAGGUCCUCGAUGAAAUAUAAGGUGGAAGUGUAAAUGGUGUUUUCCUUGCAUGAGGCGCACAGUGCUUCAGAUCUUACUAGUCUCCAGGUGCAUCACCUUGUGCUAGACCUUUGUACCAUUGAAUUUCAUUCUGGUGGUGUCACUAUAGCCCUGAAGACAGUACAGAAUUUCCUGUAUAAUAAUGUGACCUUCCUCAAUAAGGGAUCUUUUGUGAGUCAAAGAUUGCAGGCUGUGUCAACACCUUUCUACCAUACGGAAAAAGAGAGCAGGGUCAAUGAUUUGAAGACUGGUAAUCUGGUAGGAACUGAUAAAUAUGGAAACAAAUACUAUGAAGACACAAGAAACUUCUUUGGUCGACACAGAUGGGUCGUAUAUACUGAAGAAAUGAAUGGCAAAAACACGUUUUGGGAAGUUGAUGGAAGUAUGGUGCCCCCUGAAUGAUAACUCACACCACAUAAAGUAACAGUGUAUGCUAGUAAAAACAAUCUCUGCGGUUCUCGAGGAACAGCAAUAGCACUGCAGCCCCAAAGCAGCAAAAGGCAUCGCUGGCUCCACUCAAUGACGGAUGACCCUCCGACUACUCAUCCACCAGUUGCUCGUAAAUUUAUCUGGGAGAACC